rnacentral:lncRNA from 1 species
CUUUCUACAGUUGUGCCGAUCUUUAAAAAGAGUUCCCGUCCUUCUUCAGACUGACAGUGAUUAGAUUCAUAGAAGGAUCAGUGAUCACAGAUAUGAAUUUGGAAUUCAGGAAAGACACUCUUUUGCCAGAUGACAAUGAGAUAAUACGUACUAUCACCAGUGCCAAUACUACAUUUAAUAUCACCAGAGCAGAAGGUAAAGCCAGUCAGUUAAAAAUAAAACAGCUUGAGGUGAGUCUUAAACAACAGAAACUUUUUUUGCGGAUGUAGUAGCAUGUGCAAGGAAUUGUGUCUGUUUUGUAUUGUUGCUUGUUUGGCUUUCAUCUCUAAAUCAAGUUAAAUUUAGUAUCCCACUUAGUUUCCCACGGUGAUCUUUUGAAAGCCAUUUUUGGCAUCUGAUUCUUAUUUAGUGGAAAGUAUAACAUGAUCAAUGCAUUUAAUCCUUGUAUGUGACAUUUAAUGACAUUCCCAAAACUCAUUCUUCCAUAGUGUGACAAAGUAUAUAAACUGAAGUAUGGAGUUCUUUUCAUCAGGACUAUUGUGAUUGCUUUCAGAGCUUUUUCCAGAACCCGAGCAGAGGAAAAUGUACAGGCAGUGCUUGAAUUAGUGUUUAGCCAAACAUCCACUGAACCGAUCCCCAGCAACACUGACAUUGUGGAAACUCUGAAAGAAGCAGCUACAACUCCAACUUCAGGGUUCAACCUCACUCUUGAUUCCACCACUAUAAAUGUCCUUAAAUCAGUGAAGAUAAUUCCGCUGACAAUCCUCACCAAUGGAACCUUUGUGGCUGCUCUUUCAAAUAAAAGUUCUACUGAAUUUCAGAACAGAGCUUCGAUGAUAAAAGCAGUGGUGAGUGUGACGUUUCUACUUAUGAAUUUUGGGUAAAAUGCUUUUACAAAAUAAACUGAUUAUCCAACAUCAUUCAGCACCAUAUCCGUAACAAACUUCAGGUAUGAAUAUACUGCUGUGUUCUUG